rnacentral:lncRNA from 10 species
GUAUAUUUAAUAUAUUCAUUUUAUUUUAAUUUUAUGUAGGUUCCUCAUUCCUUCAUAUGUGUAUUACAUUUCCCUGGAACUAUCACGUAUUUUAUAUACUUAGCAAUGGAAAGCUCCUGGUUUCAGUUGUCUGUGCAGCAGGCAGGGGGAGGAGAAGAAAAUGGGUCACACUCCUGACCCUGCCUGCAUAGCCACAGGUUCCCAAAAGCAGAGGUCCCUGCUGUGCACCUUCCCUGGGACAACUUUCUUAUUGAUGGGUCUUGUGUUUAAUUAAUGAGAGUUUGUUUUAGGGGUAUGGGCCCAGGUGCAGCUACUGAAUCCAGUGCAAGAGUGGAAAUAAGCUUCCAAAACAGUAUCACCUGAGAGAGAACUGAGUCCAUCCCUGUAGUACCAUCUGAGUUACAGCUUCCUGGGCAAAGGCUCAGAAUCAUAAAAACUUUACAUAUGUGUCAUGUGCUGUGAUUCUUCUGUGUCACUGUAUGUUGAGCUAUAUCUGUGUGGUGCCACUUACACUUAAUGAGAUGAGAUUCCUUCUACUUGUUUCACGUCACUCGUGAUCUCUGAAGCUACUUCAGAUUUCUGCUUUAAUAUGUAAAGAGCAUGUCAAUCAUCACCCACAUUCUUACCAUAAUAAAAGUCUGGAAAAUUGA